rnacentral:rRNA from 1 species
UGCCUUAUAAUUGAAGGCUUGUAUGAAUGGUUUGACGGGAGCAUUACUGUCUUUUUCUUACCCUAUAGAACUUGACCUCUGGGUGAAGAGGCCCAGAUACAGUUGAAAGACAAAAAGACCCUGUCGAGCUUGAAAAGGAAUCAGAGUAAUUUUAUUACCUAAAAUUAAUUACUGACUAAUUUUUUUGGUUGGGGCGACCAAGGAACAAAAAAGCUUCCUCUACUUUCUUAGCUAAUAAGCAUGGAUCCAGAAAAAGCUGAUUAAAAGAAAUAGUUACCGCAGGGAUAACAGCAUAAUCUCUCUUGAGAGACCUAAUCGAAAGAGGGGGUUGUGACCUCGAUGUUGGACUAGAAUAUCUUAAAGAUGCAGAAGUCUUUGAAAGUUGGUCUGUUCGACCAUUAAAAUUCUACGU